GAUGAACGCUGGCGGCGUGCCUAAUACAUGCAAGUCGAGCGAACAGACGAGGAGCUUGCUCCUCUGACGUUAGCGGCGGACGGGUGAGUAACACGUGGAUAACCUACCUAUAAGACUGGGAUAACUUCGGGAAACCGGAGCUAAUACCGGAUAAUAUAUUGAACCGCAUGGUUCAAUAGUGAAAGACGGUUUUGCUGUCACUUAUAGAUGGAUCCGCGCCGCAUUAGCUAGUUGGUAAGGUAACGGCUUACCAAGGCAACGAUGCGUAGCCGACCUGAGAGGGUGAUCGGACACACUGGAACUGAGACACGGUCAAGACUACUACGGGAGGCAGCAGUAGGGAAUCUUACGCAAUGGGCGAAAGCCUGACGGAGCAAAGCCGCGUGAGUGAUGAAGGUCUUCGGAUCGUAAAACUCUGUUAUUAGGGAAGAACAAAUGUGUAAGUAACUAUGCACGUCUUGACGGUACCUAAUCAGAAAGCCACGGCUAACUACGUG
rnacentral:rRNA from 1 species